rfam:Chryseobacterium sp. 39-10 SCNpilot_bf_inoc_scaffold_61, whole genome shotgun sequence.
AACAGGGAAGCCGAAAACUGUAAAAAGAGUAAGCA